AGUGGAUGCGAGCAUCUUGUUGUGGUCAAGUGUUUAAGGGCACAUGGUGGAUGUCUAGGCAUCAGGAGCCGAUGAAGGACGUGGGAGGCCGCGAUAGGCCUCGGGGAGCUGUCAACCGAGCUGUGAUCCGAGGAUGUCCGAAUGGGGAAACCCGGCGCCCGUCAUGGGGUGUCACCGGCAGCUGAAUUCAUAGGCUGUCGGGGGGAACGUGGGGAAGUGAAACAUCUCAGUACCCACAGGAAGAGAAAACAACCGUGAUUCCGUGAGUAGUGGCGAGCGAAAGCGGAGGAGGCUAAACCGGUGUCGUGUCAAGCUGGCAGGCGUUGCGGUAUCGGUGUUGUGGGGCGUGUCCGUGGAGACUCUGCUAGGUCUUCGGCGGGGAUGUGUGUGGUUAGCGGAAGGCGUCUGGGAUGCGUCGGCGUAGAGGGUGAGACCCCCGUACGCGAAAGCCGUGCACAUGUUCGUGGGACGUGACCCCGAGUAGCAGCGAGCUCGUGGAAUUUGCUGUGAAUCCGGCGGGACCACCCGUCAAGCCUAAAUACUCCCUGGUGACCGAUAGCGGACGAGUACCGUGAGGGAAAGAUGAAAAGUACCCCGGGAGGGGAGUGAAAUAGUACCUGAAACCGUGUGCCUACAAGCCGUCAGAGCCUUUCGGGGUGAUGGCGUGCCUUUUGAAGAAUGAGCCUGCGAGUUAUGCUUCGUGGCGAGGUUAACCCGUGUGGGGUAGCCGUAGCGAAAGCGAGUCCGAAUAGGGCGCGAUAGUCGCGGGGUGUAGACCCGAAGCGGAGUGAUCUACCCAUGGCCAGGGUG
rnacentral:rRNA from 1 species